GACAUUUUUCCAGGGAAACUAUACUGCCGAUAAGGCUGAUUUUUGCAUGUUUCCUGUUUUUGUUUAAAAAUACAUUGAAUUUUGAGAAAUAAAUUAGUACUUAACAACAUUAAAUUUAAAAAAUAGCUAGUUUAAAUUUUUUUUGUAAUUUCAAUCAAAAUUUUGAUUUUGAAAAUGAACUUUUCAAAUACUAUAUAAACAGCUAUAAACAAGAAAAUAGACUAGGUUUUUGGUUUUACAAAAAGGUCAAUUUUUCCAAAAAUUGUAGAUUGUAGGUUGAUAUCCUCCUCCUUCCAUACGAAUAUUUUCUUGGCACAACUCCUUCUGAAUAAACCUGGGGUGGAAUCAUGGCACACGAUUACGAUCAUACGUUAACGUUUUGACUAUUGCUGUCUCUAUUUAAUCAGUAGAAAAAAAUAGGAGCAGAUAGCGGCCAUACGUCAACGAAUGUAUGCCGACCCCAGAAAACCUGCUAAAUCCAAUAUUUUUUUGCAUUACUAACAGAAGAAAACCUGCUAACUUACAAAAAUGCAAAAAAGGUACCAAACUUCGCAUCUUUUUGAAUCAGCUUACGUAUAGAAAUGAAGAGUACUAAUCAUGAAAUGAAGAGUAUCUAAUACAGAAAAAAUGGCAUUUUGGAUUUUUCUUUUAAAUUGACAAGAACUAUUUUUGAUUUUUCCUUUCCCUUGUAAAAUUUACUUAAGUGGAGAUAGCAGGUUUACACUCUAAGCCGACGAUAUGAAAUAUGAAAGCUUAUGCAGUUGCAAUUAUUGCAUAUCGUUUAAACAUCCUAAUACCAUGCUCACGAGCCUUAAGUGAAGUGAUGAUAAUUAUAAUUCUAUGUAGAUCAAAUUUUUGAGCCCACGUCAAUUUUCGUCAAUUU